rnacentral:sRNA from 1 species
CUGAGCUAAAUCCCCAACCCCGUACAAGCUACUCUUAAAGGGGCACCAGCAGCCUCUCAGCUUCUCUAGUAAGUAAGCCGAUGGCCAGUUGUGCUACAAAACCUCUGUGUCCAUGAGAAUCAGAUUCAGCAGGUAGCAAGGUGGUCCUCCCUUGAAAUUUCAACUAAAAGAGACAAAGAAAGCCUCUUGAUCUUCUGGGCCUGAUAGCCAAAGAUUGCCUCUGCCCUGCCCUUGAAGGUGUGGAAGAAGCUGGGACAACUGUCUAGAUCUUCGCCUGGCUGACGGACUCCAUCCAGGAUCACCUGUGGACUGCAAGCGCCUGAGCUCUGACUUGCCGUAGGCCAAUGUAAACUGGUCCAGCCGAGAUGAUUGCUCCCUGAUUUUCAGCUGAAUCAACUAAUCAGAUGCUUCUGAUAAAUGCCCCAUUGCCCAGCCUUCCUGGACCCCAGUGAACAACGUCCUAAUGUCAGCUGUAAGUACUUACAGAAGAGACUGUGUUGUCCAUUGUUUCUCCUAUCAGGCUGAAGUGCUAAGUCAAAAGAGAAACUCUCUGGCUCAGAGGAAACCCUUGAGUUAAUUCAAGGUGUGUACAUGUUGAGCCUGCACCCCCCACCCAGUAUAGCUGUAGCCAUUUUGGUCCGUGCCUGCCAGUCAUUGGCAAAGAAAAAUAGCUUGACUCAGAAGAGGGUCGUGCUGACCACAUACCCUGUUAUGUUCUGUAUGUCUGAAAGUGUUAAUCUUAAGAAUUCCCACAACCGUAAGCUCCACUUAGGACCAAUCAGUAUAAAGUUCAGUUAGAACUGUCCACUCCAACUAGCAAGAUAGCUUUUGUCAUGGCCAACCACCCUGCCAUGCUAUGUUAAUCUCAUUGUGGUUUUUGACUUUAUAAGCUGGCCCUGAGAAAUGUUUGAGGUCAUAGCUUUCAGCUCCUGAAUCUGAGCUACAGCCCUGAUGGAUCAGUCUGUGGUGUGCAUUCAAUAAACCAGCCCUGUUUACCUGAGACUAGUA